CACGAUACCAUUUCUUUAAGCUGAAUAAUACUAAAUAAUAAUACAUUCGAACUUAAUUUACAUACAUCAAAGUUUACUUCCCCAGGUACGUGACCUUAAAAUACAUUCCUUACAAUACUUGAAUAGAUACCAAUACAACUAUAACCAUUAACUCAUAAUACACACUUAUUCAAUCAGCUUUCCUUUUCCUUUGUUCGUGCCUGAGCCUUCAGGUUGCUCAUACAUAACU
rnacentral:lncRNA from 1 species